CGCGUAGGCGGACUUUCAAGUCGGAUGUGAAAUCUCCGGGCUCAACUCGGAGCGUGCAUCCGAUACUGUUGGUCUUGAGUAUAUCAGAGGAAAGCGGAAUUCCAGGUGUAGCGGUGAAAUGCGUAGAUAUCUGGAAGAACACCAGUAGCGAAGGCGGCCUUCUGGGUAAUACUGACGCUGAAGCGCGAAGGCUAGGGGAGCAAACA
rnacentral:rRNA from 1 species